GCCAAGCCCGACUUUGAGUCUUUUUUUACGUUCCCUUUUAUUGAUGUUCCUAAAAAGACAAUUUAUCGAUAAAAAGGGACAAUAAAGAAACCUUGAACUUUUUCUUUUUAUGAAUAUGCGAUUCAGGUUUAAGUGCUCUAAAUUUCCUGAAACUAUAUAGGUCUUCAAUUGUUUUCAAAGAUUUGAACAGACUUCAUAUUAUCAAAACAGAAACUCUAAUUAUAGUUUGAACAGUGAUUCCUGGUUAGACUGCAAGAAAUGAACUUCCUUAAAAGAUAAUUUUCGAAAUUAACUUGGAAGUUUUUCGAUUUUGGAUUCUGCUAAUCGAAUUGUGUGUAUGGAUUAAACAUUUGAUGAGUUGAGUGUUAAUAAAUCUUAAAAAAUAUUCAGUUGGGUAGAUUUUCACUAAUGGUUAACUAGUUAAAGUAAUUUAAAGAAGAAUAAAACACCGUUUGACCAUCCAAUCAUUGCGUUAACCUCUAUCUGAGCAGGAUGAUAUAAACAAUAUAUAAAAGAAUAAAAGAAAUGAAUAUUGGAUCCUUGCUUGGUUGUGCUUUAUCAAAUCAACUUAUCCAAUCCUUUUCAUCCGUUUCAUCCUUCCCAUCUCCUUCCUUCCCCUCUACCAAGCUAGGGGUUGGAUAUCAGGAUAUUGAUGAAGAUACAAGGUCUGAUCAGGAAGGGGAAAA